rnacentral:misc_RNA from 1 species
GAUGAAGAACGUAGCGAAAUGCGAUACGUAAUGUGAAUUGCAGAAUUCAGUGAAUCAUCGAAUCUUUGAACGCACAUUGCGCCCGCCAGCACUCUGGCGGGCAUGCCUGUUCGAGCGUCAUUUCAACCAUCAAGCCCCAGGCUUGCGUUGGAGCCCUGCGGCUGCCGCGGCCUCCUAAAAGCAGUGGCGGGCUCGCUAUCACACCGAGUGCAGUAGAUUACUCUUCGCUCAGGGCGUGCAGCGGGUUCCGGCCGUGAAACCCCCUACUUUUAAAGGUUGACCUCGGAUCAGGUAGGAAUACCCGCUGAACUUAAGCAUAUCAAUAAGCGGAGGA